AUGAACGCUGGCGGCGUGCCUAAUACCUGCAAGUCGAGCGAACGGACGAGAAGCUUGCUUCUCUGAUGUUAGCGGCGGACGGGUGAGUAACACGUGGAUAACCUACCUAUAAGACUGGGAUAACUUCGGGAAACCGGAGCUAAUACCGGAUAAUAUUUUGAACCGCAUGGUUCAAAAGUGAAAGACGGUCUUGCUGUCACUUAUAGAUGGAUCCGCGCUGCAUUAGCUAGCUGGUAAGGUAACGGCUUACCAAGGCAACGAUGCAUAGCCGACCUGAGAGGGUGAUCGGCCACACUGGAACUGAGACACGGUCCAGACUCCUACGGGAGGCAGCAGUAGGGAAUCUUCCGCAAUGGGCGAAAGCCUGACGGAGCAACGCCGCGUGAGUGAUGAAGGUCUUCGGAUCGUAAAACUCUGUUAUUAGGGAAGAACAUAUGUGUAAGUAACUGUGCACAUCUUGACGGUACCUAAUCAGAAAGCCACGGCUAACUACGUG
rnacentral:rRNA from 1 species